rnacentral:rRNA from 1 species
GAUGAACGCUGGCGGCGUGCCUAAUACAUGCAAGUCGAGCGAACAGAUAAGGAGCUUGCUCCUUUGACGUUAGCGGCGGACGGGUGAGUAACACGUGGGUAACCUACCUAUAAGACUGGAAUAACUCCGGGAAACCGGGGCUAAUGCCGGAUAACAUUUAGAACCGCAUGGUUCUAAAGUGAAAGAUGGUUUUGCUAUCACUGAUAGAUGGACACGCGCCGUAUUAGCUAGUUGGUGAGGUAACGGCUCACCAAGGCAACGAUGGGUAGCCGACCUGAGAGGGUGAUCGGCCACGAGGGAGCUGAGACACGGCCAUUACUCCUACGGGAGGCAGCAGUGGAGAAUAGUAGACAAUGGACCAAGAGUCUGAUCCAGCAAUUCUGUGUGCACGAUGAAGUUUUUCGGAAUGUAAAGUGCUUUCAGUUGGGAAGAAACAAAUGACGGUACCAACACAAGAAGUGACGGCUAAAUACGUG